AACGAACGCUGGCGGCAUGCCUAACACAUGCAAGUCGAACGAGACCUUCGGGUCUAGUGGCGCACGGGUGCGUAACACGUGGGAAUUUGCCUCGGGGUAUGGAAUAACUCAGGGAAACUUGAGCUAAUACCAUAUAAUGUCUUCGGACCAAAGAUUUAUCGCCCUGAGAUAAGCCCGCGUAGGAUUAGCUAGUUGGUGGGUAAAGGCUCACCAAGGCGACGAUCCUUAGCUGGUCUGAGAGGAUCGAUCAGCCACACUUGGGACUGAGACACGGCCCAGACUCCUACGGGAGGCAGCAGUGGGGAAUAUUGGACAAU
rnacentral:rRNA from 1 species